rnacentral:rRNA from 1 species
GACGUAGGAGGCGAGCGUUAUCCGGAUUUACUGGGCGUAAAGCGCACGCAGGUGGCUUCGUAAGUCGGACAUGAAAGCUCCUGGCUUAACUAGGAGAGGUUGUUCGAUACUGCGGGGCUUGAGGUUGGGAGAGGGACGUGGAAUUCCCGGUGUAGUGGUGGAAUGCGUAGAUAUCGGGAGGAACACCAGUGGCGCAAGCGGCGUCCUGGCCCACACCUGACGCUGAGGUGCGAAAGCGUGGGGAGCAAACAGG